AGAAUUUUUUUUUCUUCUCUUUUCAUUUUUUUCUUCAUUAUUUUUUUUUUGUCAAGAAUUUUUCUUUCUCUCAAUUUAAUUAUUCAUUAAGUGUUUUAAUCUCUUUCUUUUUGCAGAUUAAUAAGUAAAUGUGACAAUCUUUUAAGCGGAACCAAAGUGAAGUGAAUAAACUGAAAUGUUCAAUUCUAUUGACUGAAUUACCGUUUGAAUCAAUGUGAUGGGACAUAAUUUUUUUCCUCUCUCUCUCUCUUUGUCUCUUUCCCUCCAUGGAAAAGUAACCGGGAAACAGUAACCUUGAUGAUUGGUGACUAAUGGGAAAUACAUUUGAUGCGAUAAUAGUUAUGGAUUUGGCUUGUUUUCUAUUCUCAAAUUUACCACCGUGGAUAAAACCAUCUUGAUGAUAUUCUCCUUCUUCUUAUCAAUGCUGACCUGGUUUUCUUUUACCUUAGUGUGUAAUUGGUUCUACAUCUUCAUUGUCUUUCCUUUUCAGGUGAUGAUAUUGAAGUGACAAAGGAAUUAAAAGUGGGAGUUUGUGGAACUGUGAUGAAUUUUAUUCCAAAUAGAUAUGGAUCAUAAAGAUUUCACAAAAAGUUUCAACAAAGGUGUGAGAGAUGAAGGAGAAAAUAACGAAAGGAAAAAAAGUGAAUAUGUAAAAGAUUUAAUAGAAAUGAGAAUAGGUAAAGAGAGAGAGAGAGAGAGAGAGAGAGAGAGAGAGAGAGAGAGAGAGAGAGAGAGAGAGAGAGAGAAAACAAUACACAGAGAGAUGAAGGAGAAAACGAUGAGUUGGAAAGAGGAAGAGGAAGAGGAGUCAUGGAAAUAACAGCCAAAACCAUCAAGUUUUUUUCUAUUAUCAUUAUCAUCUAAUUUUUUUGCUAUUCUUAUCUGAAUACUCACAGAGAAUUCAAAAUCUCUAGUGACUUGGUGUAUGUGUUGUUACAUUUAAGUUAUAUGUUAAACCGUAAAAAACUUGUUAUUGUGGACUGAUUGUUGUUGUUGACGAUGAAAAGCUUGGCUCGUGUAAUGAUAUUAAUGAUAAUAACUCAAAAAGUGAGCAUAAAUUUGAUGGUAAGAAAAGUGAGAAAUGAAACUCGCCCCAAGGCAAUUGAUGAUAAAUGUUUCUUCAACUAUGGUCCAUUGAAAGUAACCCAUUAGAUAACAUUAAUCACAACUUUUUUUUUGCCACAUCUUAUGAAUGAAAUUACUAUAAAUUAUUACGAUAAAUUUUCAUUUAUCUUUAUUUUUUUUCCUUUUGUUUUUCAUUGUCUUGAUUGUCGACAUCAUAUUAUAUUCAUCAUCAACUCAAGCUAAUCGAUACAAUAACUGGGAGUCAAAAAGGAACCGUUAUAACGCUAAAUGAAAUGUUAACUGUUGAUAAUAAAAGAGAACCUCAAAUGAUGCCAGUUGACCAUUGAUCUGAAACCGAUCGAUAUCAUUAUCAUCAUCGCCCCAACUCCUCCUCCUCCUCGUCACAUAUACUUUUUAUUUGUCUGUUUUUGUUAUGGAUGAUGACCCAUUGUUUCAUAGUUUACCUGGUGUAGUGACUCUUUACCUGUGUCCUUGGUGUGUAACUAAUAUACUUUGGCUGAGGGAGUUGAUGGUAGGGUAAAGGAGAGGGUGAGGUUAAAGUUUACAAAAAAGGAGAGAUGGGAGCUAAUAUAAAGAUGACUCACAAAGCACGAAGAUUCUAAUAUUGGUGAUGACCUUGUCUGUUUAUUUUGUAUCCGGACACGCGUUUGGAAUGCGUGUUAAGAUCGCGACAUGUGUGACAAAACUCAUUAGACAAUUACUUUCGUCUCUCUCAUCUUCAUCUAACUAAUUAGCGGAAGCUACAAGCUCCGGUCCAAAGCGGCAAGAAGCGUAUGCGUCAUUGAUUUUGGCUUGUAACCUUUUCAUUUGUGCUCCUGCCUUUUCCUCCUCGACAUGGUAGCCAGUGACUAGGAAAAAGGAGAACCACUCCUCAUGUAAAAACAGGGAAAACAAGCAAGAUCUUUGUGGUUGUCGCUUUUACCAUUGAUACAGUAAACUGAUGAUAACGAUAAUGAUCAGGGAUAAACAAUGAUUUUUUUUGUUCCCAAUUAUGUUGUGAUUAUCAAUCUAUUAAGUGUGAAUAUAAUUUACUUUGUAAUGUUAAUGAUUAGAAAACUAAUUAUGAUAAUGGUUUUGAUAAUCAUGGAACACAACAAGUUAGAGUUUAUUCUAGGAGUUGAUAAAGAAAAUUAUUGUACAUUCAUUGUUGUGAUAAUGCUAAUAAUUUAUCUGAUAGGAUGUGGAAAUAACUAUUUCCGAUUGAUGAAAGAAGAGAAUAAAAAAACGAAACCAAAGUGUUGAUUAUCCAAUCAAAGUUAUCAAAUUUAAUUUUAAUAUAUUCCUUGGAUAAUAUUGUAAUAUUGUAAUUACAGUUAAUUGCAGCAUCUUGUUGAUUAAGGAUACAUUGUACUUCCUAUUGAAAGUAAUCAAAGUAACAACAACAAAAGAUUCAUUUUCAUUAUGAAGAUCAUUUUGUAUCCAAUGGUCAAUUUGAUUUACAUCCAGGUAAUUAAAUCUCAAUUCUUUUGUGAAAAAAAAGUCUCUCUCCCAUCGAAGGUGACUAAAUAGCCUUUUAAUUACUCAUUACGCUUAUUGUUUGUUUUUGUCAUCAGUUUUCAUUGUUAUUUCAGUUUCGUGAUUGUUUUAUAUUGGCCAACUGAACUUCAUGAUGAUUAUGAUGAUAAUGACGGUGAUGUUGUCGAAUCCAUUAUAUGUUGUCUUCUUCUCUCUUCUUCUCUCUCAUUCUCUCUCGUUCUGUUAUUUGGAUUGGUGUUUGUUGUGUAAAAAAGCACAUUGACUUAAGAUACACAAAAGAAGAAAGUUUUUUGCAUGGAAGAUUCAACCAACCAUGGAACUAGUAUUUUCAUUUCUUUGCAUCUCAUCUCUUUCUCUCUCUCUAAUUUUCUCUCUUUCUUUUGCAGGUUUUCUGUUUCUUUUGUAUGAUGAAGAUGAAAAUGAUGAUCAUCAUCAUGAUGAGGAUGAAAAUGUAGAAGCCAAAAAAAGUAAAGGAAAACAGAGCUUGGAAAUGCUAAGGAGUUACAGGGGUUGCCUUUCGUAUUCUUAUUAUUAUGUUGCAUCAUUGGGAGAUUCAGAAUCAAGAUGAAUAAGAAAACAAAACUAAAAUUGUUUACUCUUCUUUUGUUUUCUUACUUUUCCAUCAUGUAUUAUUAUGAUGAAAAGUAGCAUUGUUAUUAUAUGAAUAUAUUUUCUUACCUCGUUAUAUUUAUAUUAACGAGCCAUUUAUAUGUGAAUACUGAUUCUGUUAACUGAUUAGUAUGAUUUUCGUUUAUUCUGUAAACAAAAAUCAGAAGCUCACCAAAUUAUUCAAUAAGAUGAUGAUAGUAAUGAGAUAGAGAGAUUUAGAUGAAUAAUCUAUCUUUCUCACUUUUUGAUGAAUCUUUUGAUCUCUUUGGAUAAAAAAGAGAAUCUUUCUUCUCACUUAUCUUAUUCAUCUUCAUCUUAAUUUUCGUCAUUCAUUUGGUAACAAUUUAAAUUGUGCAACCAACGAGUAAACACAGGGAGAGAGCUGAAUAAAAAGGUAGGGAGGAGAUGAUGAAGGUAAAAGUCACUUAAGCGAUAACAAGACAAGAAACUUAAAUGGUGUUGAAGUAAUCAUGCAACAUCGCCUUUGAUGUUGAUCAAUCUUGAGACGUUUUCAAGACGAUCAACAACCAUAAUAGUCGUGAGAAUAAGACGUUUAUCCUCUUUCUUUUCAUCCUUUGCUUAUCAUCCUCAUCUUUAUCCUUCUUUUUAUUUACUUCUUCAUCUCUAAUUCAUCUUUUCCCUCUUUCUCUCCUUUCUUUUAGAUACCAAAUCAAAUACCAACAUUAACCCUAGAAGAGACAAAAGAGUAAAGGAUUUAAAGAAGAUGCAAAAAUGAUGAGGAGUGGAAGUGAUGGUGUGAUUGAGGUGGAAAUCACGGUAUUGACCUAUUAAGUGACCACAUGAUUGCUAAUAUAAGAAUUGCAACUAAUAACAAACCAAAUCAAAUGAAAAGGAUUUUAUCAUUUCCAUGAAAACAUUUGAAUUGAACUUUUUUUUCCUUCAAUCAAAGCGUAACCAAUAAGCGGUUAAUCUUUCUCUUUUUCUUCUCUCUCUCUCUCUCUCUCUCUCUCUCUCUCUCUCUCUCUCUCUGCAGUGGUCAUCAUCUUUAUCAUCAGCAAUGAUUCAGUAACACUAAAUUACUACAGCAAUAAUAUCAGAA